rnacentral:ncRNA from 1 species
UGGGCUGGUCGUAAGACCCGGUUCCACCAAUCGGCGGGUAAGACACCC